rnacentral:rRNA from 1 species
GUGCCAGCAGCCGCGGUAAUACGGAGGGGGCUAGCGUUGUUCGGAAUUACUGGGCGUAAAGGGCGCGUAGGCGGCGCGAUAAGUUGGGCGUGAAAGGCCCGGGCUCAACCCGGGGACUGCGCUUGAUACUGUCGCGCUGUGAGUCCGGGAGAGGAUGGCGGAAUUCCCAGUGUAGAGGUGAAAUUCGUAGAUAUUGGGAAGAACACCGGUGGCGAAGGCGGCCAUCUGGACCGGCACUGACGCUGAGGCGCGAAAGCGUGGGGAGCAAACAGGAUUAGAAACCCCAGUAGUCC